rnacentral:rRNA from 1 species
GCGUGCCUAAUACAUGCAAGUCGAACGCUUCUUUUUCCACCGGAGCUUGCUCCACCGGAAAAAGAAGAGUGGCGAACGGGUGAGUAACACGUGGGUAACCUGCCCAUCAGAAGGGGAUAACACUUGGAAACAGGUGCUAAUACCGUAUAACAAUCAAAACCGCAUGGUUUUGAUUUGAAAGGCGCUUUCGGGUGUCGCUGAUGGAUGGACCCGCGGUGCAUUAGCUAGUUGGUGAGGUAACGGCUCACCAAGGCCACGAUGCAUAGCCGACCUGAGAGGGUGAUCGGCCACAUUGGGACUGAGACACGGCCCAAACUCCUACGGGAGGCAGCAGUAGGGAAUCUUCGGCAAUGGACGAAAGUCUGACCGAGCAACGCCGCGUGAGUGAAGAAGGUUUUCGGAUCGUAAAACUCUGUUGUUAGAGAAGAACAAGGAUGAGAGUAACUGUUCAUCCCUUGACGGUAUCUAACCAGAAAGCCACGGCUAACUACGUGCCAGCAGCCGCGGUAAUACGUAGGUGGCAAGCGUUGUCCGGAUUUAUUGGGCGUAAAGCGAGCGCAGGCGGUUUCUUAAGUCUGAUGUGAAAGCCCCCGGCUCAACCGGGGAGGGUCAUUGGAAACUGGGAGACUUGAGUGCAGAAGAGGAGAGUGGAAUUCCAUGUGUAGCGGUGAAAUGCGUAGAUAUAUGGAGGAACACCAGUGGCGAAGGCGGCUCUCUGGUCUGUAACUGACGCUGAGGCUCGAAGCGUGGGGAGCAAACAGG